GGCGCGCCACUGGAGGGCGUCCAUGGCGGGGAGGCGGAGGGAGGUCCAGGUGCGACGCCGGAGGGCGGCCAUGGCGGGGAGGCAUAGGGAGGUCCAGGUGCGACGGCCUCAGAUGCAAGUGCUCCGGCAUGGCUACAAGGGAUGGAUCCAAAUUCAACAUAUUUGCUGAAAAUCAAAUUGCUUGGCAACCCAAAAAAAGCUAGGAAGGAUAUCAAAUGCUUUUGUUAUGAUAAGGUUAUUGAUUCCGACUUAACAAAUUAUAAGGACUUGGUUGAAUCAAUCGUAGAGCAGUACUCGCCUCGCUAUUUGGAAGUUGCACAUGUUCAGUACUAUGAUCCUUUUCUUAAAAUCGACCCAGAAGUAACAUCUGACCAGGAAUUGGUGUCUAUGUUUGAGAAACUCUCUAAGACAAAGGUUGUGCACUUGUUUGUUGCAUAUUGUGAUCCAUCUGAACCA